GAUGAACGCUAGCUACAGGCUUAACACAUGCAAGUCGAGGGACAGGCGCACGGGUUAGUAACACGUAUCCAACCUGCCCUUUACUCGGGGAUAGCCUUGCGAAAGAAAGAUUAAUACCCGAUAUAAAGGCUGUGGAUGCGUUCCAUUAGGUUUGUGUCAAGGUAACGGCUAACCAAGCCUUCGAUGGAUAAGGGGUCGGAGAGGAAGGUCCACUACAUUGGAACAGCGGCACAGUCCAAAGUGCCACGGGGGGCAGCAGUUAGGAGUAUUGUUCAAUGAGCGCUAGCCUGAACAAGCCAAGUAGCGCGAGGGAUGAAGGCAUAGGGGUCGUAACCUUCUUGUAUAUAAGAAUAGGUAGUAUAUGAAUAAGUAUCGGCUAACUCCGUUCCAGCAGCCGCGGUAAUAC
rnacentral:rRNA from 1 species